AACGUAGGACACAAGCGUUAUCCGGAGUUACUGGGCGUAAAGGGCGUGUAGGCGGACCUAUAAGUCUAUUCUGAAAGCUCCUGGCUAAACUGGGAGAGGCGAAUGGAGACUGUAGAUCUAGAGUGAGGAAGAGGAAAGUGGAAUUCCGCGUGUAGUGGUGAAAUGCGUUAGAGAUGCGGAGGAACACCAGUGGCGAAAGCGACUUUCUGGUCCUUAACUGACGCUGAGGCGCGAAAGCAUGGGGAGCGAACGGGGAUUAGAAACCC
rnacentral:rRNA from 1 species